CGGCCUUCUGGACAGUACUGACGCUGAGAUGCGAAAGCGUGGGGAGCAAACAGGAUUAGAUACCCUGGUAGUCCACGCUGUAAACGAUGUCGAUUUGGAGUUUGUUGCCUAGAGUGAUGGGCUCCGAAGCUAACGCGAUAAAUCGACCGCUGGGGAGUACGGCCGCAAGGUUAAAACUCAAAUGAAUUGACGGGGGCCCGCACAAGCGGUGGAGCAUGUGGUUUAAUUCGAUGCAACGCGAAGAACCUUACCUGGUCUUGACAUCCAUAGAAUUCUGCAGAGAUGUGGGAGUGCCUUCGGGAACUAUGAGACAGGUGCUGCAUGGCUGUCGUCAGCUCGUGUUGUGAAAUGUUGGGUUAAGUCCCGCAACGAGCGCAACCCUUAUUCUUUGUUGCCAGCGAUUUGGUCGGGAACUCAAAGGAGACUGCCGUUGAUAAAGCGGAGGAAGGUGGGGACGACGUCAAGUCAUCAUGGCCCUUACGACCAGGGCUACACACGUGCUACAAUGGCGUAUACAAAGGGAAGCGAAGGUGCGAGCUGGAGCGGAUCUCAUAAAGUACGUCUAAGUUCGGAUUGGAGUCUGCAACUCGACUCCAUGAAGUCGGAAUCGCUAGUAAUCGUAGAUCAGAAUGCUACGGUGAAUACGUUCCCGGGCCUUGUACACACCGCCCGUCACACCAUGGGAGUGGGUUGCACCAGAAGUAGAUAGCUUAACCGCGAGGGGGGCGUUUACCACGGUGUGAUUCAUGACUGGGGUGAAGUCGUAACAAGGUAACCA
rnacentral:rRNA from 1 species